AUUGAACGCUGGCGGAAUGCUUUACACAUGCAAGUCGAACGGCAGCACGGACUUCGGUCUGGUGGCGAGUGGCGAACGGGUGAGUAAUAUAUCGGAACGUGCCCAGUCGUGGGGGAUAACGUAGUGAAAAUUACGCUAAUACCGCAUACGAUCUACGGAUGAAAGCGGGGGAUCGCAAGACCUCGCGCGAUUGGAGCGGCCGAUAUCAGAUUAGGUAGUUGGUGAGGUAAAGGCUCACCAAGCCAACGAUCUGUAGCUGGUCUGAGAGGACGACCAGCCACACUGGAACUGAGACACGGUCCAGACUCCUACGGGAGGCAGCAGUGGGGAAUUUUGGACAAUGGACGCAAGUCUGAUCCAGCCAUUCCGCGUGCAGGAUGAAGGCCUCGGGUUGUAACUGCUUUGUACGGAACGAAAGGUUUCUAUUAAUACUAGGAGCUCAUGACGGUACCGUAAGAAUAAGCACCGGCUAACUACGUGCCAGC
rnacentral:rRNA from 1 species